GAUGAACGCUAGCGACAGGCUUAACACAUGCAAGUCGAGGGGCAGCAAUUUGUAGCAAUACAAAGUUGGCGACCGGCGCACGGGUGAGUAACGCGUAUGCAACCUACCUACAACAGAAGAAUAAUCCGGCGAAAGUCGGUCUAAUACUUCAUAAAACAGGGACACCGCAUGGUGUUAUUUGUUAAAGAUUUAUCGGUUGUAGAUGGGCAUGCGUACCAUUAGGUAGUUGGUGAGGUAACGGCCCACCAAGCCUACGAUGGUUAGGGGUUCUGAGAGGAAAGUCCCCCACACUGGUACUGAGACACGGACCAGACUCCUACGGGAGGCAGCAGUGAGGAAUAUUGGUCAAUGGGCGAGAGCCUGAACCAGCCAAGUCGCGUGAAGGAUGACGGCCCUAUGGGUUGUAAACUUCUUUUGCAGGGGAAUAAAGAUAUUCACGUG
rnacentral:rRNA from 2 species